rnacentral:rRNA from 1 species
UACGGAGGAUCCGAGCGUUAUCCGGAUUUAUUGGGUUUAAAGGGUGCGCAGGCGGGAGAUUAAGUCGGCGGUGAAAUUUCGCAGCUUAACUGUAAAAGUGCCAUCGAUACUGGUUUCCUUGAGUGUAGAUGAAGUAGGCGGAAUUUGUGGUGUAGCGGUGAAAUGCAUAGAUAUCACGAGGAACUCCGAUUGCGCAGGCAGCUUACUAAACUACUACUGACGCUCAGGCACGAAGGCGUGGGGAUCAAACAGGAUUAGAUACCCU